UACUCUGCUGACGAGCGGCGGACGGGUGAGUAAUGCUUGGGAAUAUGCCUUAUGGUGGGGGACAACAGUUGGAAACGACUGCUAAUACCGCAUGAUGUCUACGGACCAAAGUGGGGGACCUUCGGGCCUCACGCCAUAAGAUUAGCCCAAGUGGGAUUAGCUAGUUGGUGAGGUAAUGGCUCACCAAGGCGACGAUCCCUAGCUGGUUUGAGAGGAUGAUCAGCCACACUGGGACUGAGACACGGCCCAGACUCCUACGGGAGGCAGCAGUGGGGAAUAUUGCACAAUGGGCGCAAGCCUGAUGCAGCCAUGCCGCGUGUGUGAAGAAGGCCUUCGGGUUGUAAAGCACUUUCAGUAAGGAGGAAAGGUUAAGUGUUAAUAGCACUUAGCUGUGACGUUACUUACAGAAGAAGCACCGGCUAACUCCGUGCCAGCAGCCGCGGUAAUACGGAGGGUGCGAGCGUUAAUCGGAAUUACUGGGCGUAAAGCGUACGCAGGCGGUUUGUUAAGCGAGAUGUGAAAGCCCCGGGCUCAACCUGGGAACUGCAUUUCGAACUGGCAAACUAGAGUGUGAUAGAGGGUGGUAGAAUUUCAGGUGU
rnacentral:rRNA from 1 species